rnacentral:tRNA from 1 species
UUCCUGAUAGCUCAGGUAGUAAAGAACCUGCCUGCAAUGCAGGAGACUCCAGUUUGAUUUCUGGGUCAGGAAG